AAGAAUUAAAUGGAUGAAAUAUGAAGUUUUAUUAAAAGAAAAAGGGGUGAAAAGAACAAAGUUUUGUCCAUCUUUGUUCAUCAUAGCUGAAAGUUAGAGAAGAGAAAGGAGAGGAGAAAGCUUUUGAGUAUUCGGUCAUUAGGAGGAGGAAAAUUGAAGGUAAUCCCCAACCAUAGUUGGCUUGGAGCUGUGAGGGAAUUCGGAGUGGCCACCUAUUCUGAAAGUUUGAUUUUCUUCUGGUGAACUGGACAUCCUUUUAUUUACGUUUGAAGUUUUGGGUUUUUAAAUGUAAUAAGGCCACUUAUUUAUUUUUGAUGUUUUUUUUAUAUGUAUUACUAAGAUAGGUAAUACUUAUUUUAACUGUUGAAAUUGGAUAGCUUUAGGGCGCGUUUUCAAAAACAA